rnacentral:rRNA from 1 species
UACGGAGGGAGCUAGCGUUGUUCGGAAAUACUGGGCGUAAAGCGCACGUAGGCGGCGCGGCAAGUCAGGGGUGAAAUCCCGGGGCUCAACCCCGGAACUGCCCUUGAAACUGCAGUGCUAGAAUCUUGGAGAGGCGAGUGGAAUUCCGAGUGUAGAGGUGAAAUUCGUAGAUAUUCGGAAGAACACCAGUGGCGAAGGCGACUCGCUGGACAAGUAUUGACGCUGAGGUGCGAAAGCCAGGGGAGCAAACGGG